ACGCACGCUGGCGGCGUGCUUCACACAUGCAAGUCGAACGGAAAGGCCCUGCUUUUGUGGGUUGCUCGGGUGGCGAACGGGUGAGUAACCCGUGAGUAACCUGCCCUUGCCUUUGGGUUAACUUCAGGAAACGGGGGCUAAUACCGGAAAGGCGCUCCUGCUGCAUGGUGGGGGUUGGAAAGUUUCGGCGGUUGGGGAUGGACUCGCGGCUUAUCAGCUUGUUGGUGGGGUAGUGGCUUACCAAGGCUUUGACGGGUAGCCGGCCUGAGAGGGUGACCGGCCACAUUGGGACUGAGAUACGGCCCAGACUCCUACGGGAGGCAGCAGUGGGGAAUAUUGCACAAUGGGCGGAAGCCUGAUGCAGCAACGCCGCGUGCGGGAUGACGGCCUUCGGGUUGUAAACCGCUUUCGCCUGUGACGAAGCGUGAGUGACGGUAAUGGGUAAAGAAGCACCGGCUAACUACGUG
rnacentral:rRNA from 1 species